UACGAACCGUGCGAACGUUGUUCGGAAUCACUGGGCUUAAAGGGCGCGUAGGCGGGCGCACAAGUCAGGGGUGAAAGCCCACGGCUCAACCGUGGAAGAGCCUUUGAUACUGUGUGUCUGGAGGGAGGUAGGGGCGUGCGGAACUUCCGGUGGAGCGGUGAAAUGCGUAGAUAUCGGAAGGAACACCGGUGGCGAAAGCGGCGCGCUGGACCUCUACUGACGCUGAGGCGCGAAAGCCAGGGGAGCAAACGGG
rnacentral:rRNA from 1 species